rnacentral:sRNA from 1 species
UCUGAAAAAAAGAACCAAAAAAAAAAAAAAAAAAGACACAUGACAUUAGAGGAAUGGUGAGGAGGCUCGUGUGCUUAAGAGUGGGCAUUGGAGAGGAAUACCAAAGAGUCCCAAGCUACAGCAAGAAAGCCUGGUGCUGUGUCUUUCCUUCCAAUGCAGACCGAUUACAGUAACAGGCUUCUUGGCUGCUAGGAGAGGAAAGGGAGGCAGAGCAGAGCGGAGCUGGUGGUGCUGAGGGAUGAGCAGGAGGCUGCUGCCCUACAGCGGGAACUGUGGAAACGACAGCCAGAGAAGACAAUUCACCAGCUGCCAGCCAGUGAGGAAACAGCAAAUAUUUACCGUCUGCAAGUCCUGUUUCCAACUGGCUCUCAUUAACCAUGUAACAGAUAGAGCAUGUGGGGGACACAAAUCCAGAAGAGGACACGUGCGCUCCAGUACCAACAUGGCCGACAGCUAAAGUGCCUGAUCUGAUACGCUUCCACCUCAUCAAAAGGAAAAGGCGGGUGAGGAGAGCCUUCGGCAACAUGAGGCCACAGCAGAUGAGCCUGCCCUGACAACUUACAGGGCGAAGGAACAGAAGCAACUGAGACCUGUCCAUGUGUUCCUCCAGGAAGACUCCAAUUCCAGACUGACACCCUCCUGUUAACCUCAGGUCACAUUUCCCAUCCUAAUAGGAAAUGACAAAAUUUCUUGCUGGCAAGAUUCAGCCAGGAGGUGUGGCAGAAAUCUAUCUUGCUCAGGGGCAGUUCUCAGAUCUGCGAUGAACGUUGGAGAGGGCAGAGGAUAUAUUUUAGCUUGUGAUUGUGGAGACUUUAAGUUUAGCCCAUGCUCAGAUGGAUCCGUCGUUGGGCCUGAGACGAAGCAGAACUUCACAGCAGCAGGAGUGCUCACCUCAUGGCCGCCAGAAAGCAGACGCAGAACAGCAAGACAGGGGGAACAAGGUAGAUGCUCUCAAGACACCCCAGGAUCCCUCUCUCUCCAGCUGCACCACCCUGGUAUUAUGAAUUCAUUGAGGAAUUAACCCAGUGUUGAAGGUGGUGAAGGCUGUGGUCCAAUCAUCUGUCGACAGCAUCACUUCAGCUCAGGGCCUUUUGUGAGGACGCCCCGCAUCCAAACCAUAGCAACCACUGCGCUCAGUUCAUUCUUAUUUCCCAGAGAACCAUUCCGGGCAACGACCUGUUUGUUAGUGAGGUGCCAUCUGUCCCAACUCUAUGCUCUAAUUCUCUCAUGGGCUGGGCCUCACUGUGUUAUAAAAUUCACACUAUUCCAUAGCACCAACCAGUUCCCGGGCCCUGAAAAUUAGAGAUGGCCAUUCCAAAUCUCUUUCAGUCAUGCCCCUCUCCAUGAAGAAAGGAAUCUUCAAGACCAAGAGAAUACACCUGUACAGGUCUCUUCUAGAUCAUACUGUAAAAGAUUCCACAGCCCUGGAAUUCCCUGCCUCUACCCCAUUAAUACAACUUUAAGGCUGCCUAGGUUUUAUCCAUGGGCCUGCCUUGCCAAGGAUUCGUAUCCACCAGCACUGUACUCCCAGACAUCAAGUGACCAAGGGCAGCUAGUGAAG